GGGGCUGUGGGCUAACCUGGCAUGCUUCCAGCUUGGGGUGCUGGCGAUCUGAGUUCAAAUCUCGGCAGCCCCA
rnacentral:tRNA from 1 species